GUUCAUACAGGAGGUUCUAGAAGACCCAGUUCCAAACAACACACGGGCCGAGAAUGAAGCUUUAAAUAGAUUGAGAGCCCCGAUCAGUAACGAGGAGAAAAACCGUGCGAGGGAAGAAAAUAACCCACUGUAUACUGCCGCUGCCCAGUCGAUUAUUGCCAUGGGUUACACCACGGCUGUGGUCACAAAGUGCAUCAACGCCUAUAUAGCGAGUACUGGUCAAAGGAACUUUGGAGCUACCGACUUAAUGGAUAUAAUAUUAGACAAAGAGGAUGAAGGUGGGAAACUGUCAAGUGACGGAGAAACGGAAGGAAAGGAAACUAACGACGACGAGUUCCGAUAUGGUAAGUAAAUAUAGAACAAAUAUUUUGAAAAAAAGUAUUAUAUUCGAAUAAAAGGUUAGAUUAAUUAGGGCAAGUGAGCUAAUGAGGUGUCAGAGCGUCCAAUGUCCGUCGAUCGUUCGUCAACUUUUCCUUUAAACGACUUCUUCUGAAGAAUGGAAAAGCUUACACACGAAUAUGGCAUUUAACUACUUCCAAGGCUACAGGAUUCAAAUAUGUCAAAAACUUCAAAGGACUUUUUCUCAAGAACAGGGAGGCCUAUAGUCACGAUAUUUGGCUGGUAGCUUACUGGAUUUGAAUUAGACAAAUUCUGCUAAUAAAAAUGACAUCUGCCUUCUUCCAAGGUCAUGGUGUCAAAUAUUUCAAAAACUUGAAACUACAUUUCAUGAAGAGCCGAAUGGCCAGGAGUCAUGAUAAUUGGCUUGAACAGCAUCAUGUUAUAGAGCGUCACAUAUUUUGCGAAUAAAAGACCUUGACCUUUGAUCAAGGGCACAAGGAUCAAAUAUGUUAGAAACAUUAAACAAGUUCUUCUAGCGAACGGAAAGAUAUUUGGCUGGUAGCUUCAUGGGGAAUAUCGAA